CAAUAGCGUAUAUUUAAGUUGUUGCAGUUAAAAAGCUCGUAGUCGGAUUUUGGCUGAGAACGAUCGGUCCGCAGUUAGGUGUGCACUGAUUGGUCUCAGCUUCCUGGUGAGGAGGUGUGCUUCACGGCCACUUAGUCACCGUGGUUACUUUGAAAAAAUUAGAGUGUUCAAAGCGGGCUUACGCUUGAAUAUAUUAGCAUGGAAUAACACCAUAGGACUCCUGUCCUAUUUCGUUGGUCUCGGGACGGGAGUAAUGAUUAAGAGGAACAGUUGGGGGCAUUCGUAUUUCAUUGUCAGAGGUGAAAUUCUUGGAUUUAUGAAAGACGAACUUCUGCGAAAGCAUUUGCCAAGGAUGUUUUCAUUGA
rnacentral:rRNA from 1 species